UUGGUAAGGUCGGUAAGCAUUACUUGGAUCCCUAUACUCUGAUCUGAUACUAAGAUGUACGUAAGAGCAUGAUAAUUAAAGUAUGUGUAUUUGUUCUGAUUCGAUAAUGAUGUUAUGAUCUGGUAUCUGCAUAUGAGCAUGACAUAUUAUUUAUGUUGCAUUGCAUUGGGUUGGGUUUGUUGUUGAAGAGAAGGAAGACUGAAAGGUUAUUAGCCUGUCAUCUGGCAACUAUGCUGCAUAUAUCUAAUACGUGUCGUAUAUGGUACCACUUGGUGUAUAGGGUUGGAUGGGUCGAUUAUAUCCCC
rnacentral:lncRNA from 1 species